AACACAUUGUUAAAGAAGAAGAAGAAGAAGGAAGGAAGGAGGGAAGGGAGGGAGGAAGGAAUAUUGGGUUGCUAGGCAACUAAAGACAAGCCUCCUUGUCAUCUCUUGGAUCUGUGAGUUUUGCCCCGUUCAGCUGUCGCCUGUGGACAUCCUCUAUGCAGCAUAAUGUCUUGUGCAGCCUACUUAGAUGGCAACGCAACGCCAAAGUCCAUGAGCAGAGCCAAACAAUGGACUGACGAGGUGGAGAACUUAUACAGAUUCCAACAGGCAGGCUACAGAGAUGAACUGGAAUACAAACAAGUAAAGCAAGUUGACUUGAUCGACAGGUGGCCUGAGACUGGGUUUGUGAAGAAGCUUCAGCGUCGAGACAACACAUUCUAUUACUACAACAGAAAAAGAGAAUGUGAAGACCGGGAAGUCCAUAAAGUGAAAGUCUAUGCAUAUUAAGUCAGGAGUGUCCAGCAAUCUCUUUUCCAUUUCCAAUAUCUUUUGACAUGUUUUUGAAGAAGACGUCUGUAGGAAGGAAGGCAGCACCAUCCCAGCUGUGGAAUGUAGACCAGUUCACUGAAUAAAGGGUGUGAGGCUGAA